UACGAAGGGUGCAAGCGUUACUCGGAAUUACUGGGCGUAAAGCGUGCGCAGGCGGUGGCUCAAGCCAGGCGUGAAAUCCCCGGGCUUAACCUGGGAAUGGCGUUUGGGACUGGGUCGCUAGAGUGUGGCAGAGGGAGGUGGAAUUCCACGUGUAGCAGUGAAAUGCGUAGAGAUCGGGAGGAACAUCAGUUGCGAAGGCGGCUCUCUGGACCAGCACUGACACUGAGGCACGAAAGCGUGGGGAGCAAACAGG
rnacentral:rRNA from 1 species